CCCUUUGUGAACUUAUACCUUACUGUUGCCUCGGCGCAUGCCGGCCCCCCCGGGGGCCCCUCGGAGACGAGGAGCAGGCACGCCGGCGGCCAAGUUAACUCUUGUUUUUACACUGAAACUCUGAGAAAAAAACACAAAUGAAUCAAAACUUUCAACAACGGAUCUCUUGGUUCUGGCAUCGAUGAAGAACGCAGCGAAAUGCGAUAAGUAAUGUGAAUUGCAGAAUUCAGUGAAUCAUCGAAUCUUUGAACGCACAUUGCGCCCUCUGGUAUUCCGGAGGGCAUGCCUGUUCGAGCGUCAUUUCAACCCUCAAGCAUUGCUUGGUGUUGGGGCACUGCCUGUAAAAGGGCAGGCCCUGAAAUCUAGUGGCGAGCUCGCCAGGACCCCGAGCGCAGUAGUUAAACCCUCGCUCUGGAAGGCCCUGGCGGUGCCCUGCCGUUAAACCCCCAACUUUUGAAAAUUUGACCUCGGAUCAGGUAGGAAUACCCGCUGAACUUAAGCAUAUCAAUA
rnacentral:rRNA from 1 species